ACCUGGUUGAUCCUGCCAGUAGUCAUAUGCUUGUCUCAAAGAUUAAGCCAUGCAUGUCUAAGUACACGCCCUAGCAAGGUGAAACCGCGAAUGGCUCAUUAAAUUCAGUUAUGGUUCCUUAGAUCGUACACAUUUACUUGGAUAACUGCGGUAAUUCUAGAGCUAAUACAUGCAAUUGAGCCCUCGUCCCUUUUAGGGUGAGGGUGAUUUUAUUAUACCAAGACCAAACGGGGGCAACUCCGAUAGUCGUGGUGACUCGAAUAACUAUGGCGGAUCGCACAGUCCUAGCACUGGCAACGCAUCUUUCAAGUGUCUGCCUUAUCAACUUUCGAUGGUAGGUUAUGCGCCUACCAUGGUUGUUACGGGUAACGGGGAAUCAGGGUUCGAUUCCGGAGAGGGAGCCUGAGAAACGGCUACCACAUCCAAGGAAGGCAGCAGGCGCGCAAAUUACCCACUCCCGGCACGGGGAGGUAGUGACGAAAAAUAACAAUACGGGACUCUAACGAGGCUCCGUAAUUGGAAUGAGUACACUCUAAACCUUUUAACGAGGAUCUAUUGGAGGGCAAGUCUAGUGCCAGCAGCCGCGGUAACUCUAGCUCCAAUAGCGUAUAUUAAAGUUGUUGCGGUUAAAAAGCUCGUAGUUGGAUAUCAGUCGCGCUCCCUUCGAUGCGUUGCAAAGCGUCUAUCAUUGGGGCCGACAGCACGUUGGUGGGCCCGGUUGGCUUUUACCGGUUGAUCGGGUUCUCCGGCAAUUUUACUUUGAAAAAAUUAGGGUGCUCAAAGCAGGCUGGUGCCUGGAUAUUGGUGCAUGGUGAGCAUCAACUUUUGUAUAAGAAAUUGAAACUGACGUAUAUGUUUCUUUUUGAAAUAAAACAAUUCCGACUGCCAUUAUUGCAAUGAUAAGAUAACGGGAGGGCCUGGCUCAUCAAUAGUGAACUCUCCCAGCGGUUUCGCCAGUUUAAUCUACCAUUGUAAUUUUGCUGUUUUCCUUUUAUACCUAUACUGAAUCUGACCUUUUUCAAAUAGAAUUUUAAAUGAAAUAAACUUUGAGGACAGUAGAAAUACAUAUAAUAUGUUUAGAGCAAUUUCUCUUCAGUAAACAUCAAGUAGUCUUUUUUAAAGAACAAUUAUAAUAUUAACGCAUUGCAUCAUAAUUCGGCUUAUAUAGUCUGCCCUUGAAGGUUUAAUCUUAUUUAUGGUGUUUAGCGAAAUUUCGCAAAUAUGUUUUUUUCUUGAGCAUAAAUAUUAAAAGACAAGACUGUCUGUUUAAGCAAUAUCAAAAAGCAGACAACAUGACCCUGAUAAAAUAAUGAGUCAAGUCUUCCCAAAUAUUCUUGAUUUCACUAAUUAUGUAAAUUUGUUCAAUAUGAUCGAAUGUUGUUAAAUAGAGAAAACUUGGCAGUUUCCAUUUGGGCACUCGCAAGUUGAAUACAUUGUCUUCCUAUAAACUCAUUUUUCAUAUGAAAAUUCAAUCAGGUGCCCUUUAUAUAGGAUAUUCAACAUAUUUAAUAUUCAGGGGCCUAAUUAAAAAAAAGAACGAGAUGGACAGUCAGAUAUAUAAGGGGAAAAAACUUAAUGGGAAAAAUAGGUGAAAAACAGACGGAAGUGACCCCGAAGACAGAAUUUCAUCUAUUAGAUUGUUUGUUCUAGCGAUGUCGUGGUUCUUGUGUUACUGUCCAACUCCGUGGUGUGUGUGUGCAGGGAUUGGCUGCCAACCCCAUGACAAGUAAGGGAAUCUUAGAUUUUCUCAAGAAGAAUUACCAUGAAGAUUAUAACAAGUGGUCUUUAUACCAAAACUGUUCGAUUCAGAGUCUCAUCUUUGAAGGCUGCAUUGCAGAGAAUAUGAACAACACUAUCAGAGUUUUAGGACCACUAGUUCCCAACUUCCAAAUUAAUGUUCUGGUGAGUAUCUACAGACGACAUUAUUGAAUCGCACAAAAUGUUUUAAAUAAUAUCAUAGUAUUAUUCCUGACCGCUCACGUGAGCGUCAUCUAGUGGAACAA